rnacentral:tRNA from 1 species
AGAAACGUAGCUCAAUGGUGGAGUAUCGGUUUCCAAAACCGACGGUUGCAGGUUCAACCCCUGUCGUUUCUG